rnacentral:rRNA from 1 species
AGUGAACGCUGGCGGCAGGCCUAACACAUGCAAGUCGAGCGGCAGCGCGUCCGACCACCCUCGGGUGGUCGGAUGGCGGCGAGCGGCGGACGGGUGAGGAAUGCAUCGGAAUCUGCCUCGUUGUGGGGGAUAACGUAGGGAAACUUUACGCUAAUACCCGCAUACGACCUACGGGUGAAAGUGGGGGACCUUCGGGCCUCACGCGAUGAGAUGAGCCGAUGCCGGAUUAGCUAGUUGGCGGGGUAAAGGCCCACCAAGGCGACGAUCCGUAGCUGGUCUGAGAGGAUGAUCAGCCACACUGGAACUGAGACACGGUCCAGACUCCUACGGGAGGCAGCAGUGGGGAAUAUUGGACAAUGGGGGCAACCCUGAUCCCAGCCAUGCCGCGUGUGUGAA